rnacentral:misc_RNA from 1 species
GGGAGCUUGAGAUUUGACGCCGAAUUGAGCCACGGAGCCAAUGCUGGUCUGAUUAAUGCUUUGAAGCUUAUCCAACCAAUCAAGGACAAAUACCCGGGUAUAACUUAUGCUGAUUUGUUCCAGUUGGCAAGUGCUACAGCAAUUGAGGAAGCUGGUGGGCCGAAAAUUCCAAUGAAAUAUGGACGAGUUGAUGUCACAGCAGCUGAGCAGUGCCCACCAGAGGGGAGGCUUCCUGAUGCCGGUCCACGUGUGCCCGCUGAUCAUCUUAGGGAGGUAUUCUACAGGAUGGGCCUUGAUGACAAGGAAAUUGUUGCAUUAUCUGGAGCACACACACUUGGAAGAUCAAGACCUGACAGGAGUGGCUGGGGAAAGCCAGAAACAAAAUAUACUAAGGAUGGGCCUGGUGAACCUGGAGGGCAAUCAUGGACAGUUGAAUGGUUGAAGUUUGAUAACAGUUACUUCAAGGACAUAAAAGAGCAAAGGGACCAGGAUCUUCUAGUGCUACCCACAGAUGCUGCAUUAUUUGAGGAUCCGUCCUUCAAGGUAUAUGCCGAAAAAUAUGCAGAGGAUCAGGAGGCAUUCUUUAAAGACUACGCUGAAGCUCAUGCUAAACUGAGCGACC